rnacentral:sRNA from 1 species
UUGAUCCGAACUUUAAAUCUAUUGUGGUCACUAGACUUAGAUAGCCCAUUCAAUGAAUCUUGGGUGCUAGAGGCUCUUUCAACUUUUGUGCUUUGAUGUACUUCCUUCUUACUUGAAUCAUCAGAAAGUGGCACCAUGGAACCAUUAUGUUUUGAAACAGAUGGAGCUGCCACAGCCAAAGUGUUCUGGGACAUGCUCUAAAUUACAGGCUGGUGAUAAGGAGAUCUUGAGCUAACAUUUGCCGCCUUAGGUGGACUUCUAGUUUGGGGCAGCGGAGAACGCUGGUAAGUAGGCAAGAAUGAACCAUACCCACCAAACUUCGAUCCUAUUUUCUGCAGAUACAGCUCCUUCAAAGUCCUUCUGAAAAUGGCCAAGUACAUCUUGGAUUUUUUCAUCAAUGUAAGAGAGCGCGACGUCGGGGUCGACGAAGGCCGUCUCGUCCCCGCAGGCCUCCCCCUCCUCGAGCUCCGCGUCGUCCUCCAUGCCGCCCGCUGCGGCGCCGCCCCGGAGC